rnacentral:rRNA from 1 species
GGGCCGCCCCGCGAGGGACGGCGCCGCCCCGGGGCUCGUGAUAUCUUAUCUCGCCGCCCGUCGCGAGGCGGACGGAGGGAUGGAUGAGGUUACCUGGAAAAAUCGGGGCGAUCUAGGCGGGCGAACCUCGCCAACGAACGAUCGGACAUGGGGAUAACGGAAGAGGGCGUCGGCUCGACUUCGUCGGUUCCUCGGGCCGAGGCACGUACGGUGAAUAGGGACGGUCGGGGCCGCCCGUACCGGGUCGUGAGAGGUGAAAUUCUAGGAUCGACCCGAGACGAACUGCCGCGAAAGCAUUCGGCAAGGACGCUUUCAUUAAUCAAGAACGAAAGUCGGGGGAUCGAAGACGAUCAGAUACCGUCGUAGUCCCGACCGUAAACGAUGCCGACCGAGGGCCCGGAGGAGUUACGUACGACCCUCCGGGCCCUCCCGCGAGAAAUCAGGAGUA